UAAUGGAUAUGUACACAUACAUGCUCAUUUGUGAUUAAUUCCAGGACUAGAACAUUACUCUAAAUCAACCUCAACCCAGUUCCACACCUCUGUCUCGUCCAAUGGAAUCACAGGACUCUUUUUCUAAUUAACUUUGGGUUAAUUGUCUCCAAGGACACACAGCUUGCUGUUAUGUACUCUGCAUGAAAUAGUGAGGAUAUUUUGCCAUGGAGAUGCUGGUCAUUGGUUGUGACUUUGCAUUGAUGGCAGCAGUGGCUCGUUUAGAAUUAAUUACUAACAAGAGGGGAGAGCAGAUUUGCCCAGAUGCUUUUUAAUUACACAGAAAUGUAAAUGAUGAUCGUCAUAGUGCCAUGAUGUUGGGGAGGCUGUGAUGUGUGUAAAGCCUGAGACACACUGCAUGGUUUUUGGCUGUCCCAAACACAAGAUUGGCAUCGGGAAACAAUCAUGGCAUUUUCUGGCUGCUUCUAAAACCUGGCGGAGAGCUAAGCUUAAGCUGACGGAUCCCUGUUUCGCUCCUCUGAUCAAUUUUCCAAUACGGCUGAAACAGCAGAGCCUUGUCCGAAUUCACACGAGGAGAGAUUAAUCUGUGCCACCUGCUGAUAUAGAAGCCAGGGUUGCUGGAACUUGUAUUUAGUACUUUCUCUAUUACAACUCUCAAAGUGUUUUUCAUGAUAACAGGUGCUUGUAAGAUAAGAGAGAGAUGGGAAAAUAAUCAUUUGUUCUAAGGAGCUGGCAAAUUGCUGGCAAGUGAAAGGGGUUGGUGUUAAAAACACCGCUGAUGUUUUUAGAGCGUGAUAAACUAGGCUGAUUUAACCACACCAUAACAGUCUUUGGCUGAAAACAUAAUUACUGAUCCACAGUAGGUUGUAGUGGUUGUUUUUUUAGAAUGCUUCCGAUUAUUUUUGAGAUUUGCCAUUGUGCCCUUGAGCAAAGCCACUUAACCUCAGGUUGCUCCAGGGGUUUGCCCCUGUAAUAAAUUCAUGGUGCUCUAUGGUGACGUGUGAAAGUCAUGGAAAGGUAUUGCACCAUUCCUAGUACACCUCCUAUCUGUUCUGUAUAAGAAACUCAUAUUCAUUGAAAAUGAGUGACUGCCAACAAAUCUGCAAAAGCUAUGUGACUAUAAUUGACUGCAGUGUACAGCUAAAAUGAACACUAGAGGCAGUAAACACACCUUUCGCAUACAGUAGUUCAUGAUUACUAGGGCAAAUUAUAAUUUUGUUUAUUCUUUAUUAUUAUUAUUACAUCCUUGCACACAUUUUAUUUCAUUUCUUGCACAAUACUAUGCCAUGACCUCAGAACACUUUUACCAUAACUCAUGAUUUGUAAACUAAUCAAUUUUGAGGUUUGCAUCACAUAACCAGCUGCAUAUGUAUGGCUCUUCUGACAUAGUAAACUUGCUUGGUAGCUCACCUAGUUACAAAAAGCAUUUUAAUCUCACUGUUUUUGUUAACACUAGCUUUAAGAUUUAGGGUAGAGUUUAGUGUAGGGGGUACGUUAUUUUUCGAACGUGAUAGAACAUUACCCUUUUGGCACUAAUCACAGACAUUUCUGAACUGCCGUAAUAUGAUAUAUAACAAAUAUAGUAAAACAUGGCCACAGCCACAUUUACAUUUUGAAGCAAAUUGAACAUGCUAGUUUGCUAUUUUUUGGGCAUUGGGUUUAAUAAACCUGCAUCUGCAAUGGAGAAAAAAAAGUAUUUAUUAUAGUAUUUAUUAAUAUUUUGAAUUAGCAUUUUCGUGGAUUUGUUUAUUUGUAUAUUUUAUGUUUUAAUUUGUAUUUGUUUGUUUGCCAUUAGGGGAAAAAAACUACUCUUCAUACUCUUACUUAUUUAGUUAAACUGAAUAACGUAUAUCAUGUUUUGUAGAAAAGUAGGCAAAGUCACAUAUUUCUAAUGAGCAUGGGUUGCAUUUAUAACAGUAUAUAACUUCAGAUAAAGGUUAAAGUUUCAAAAUUUAAAGAUUCACCAAAAAUUACAUCAUUAUCUGCUCAUUCUCAUGUCAUUCCAAACCUCUAUUAUUUUCUGUAUUUCUUUCUCUGAACACAAAAUUAGGACAGGUGCCUUCAAGGUUGCAAGAGCAUCAUAAAGAGGUCCAUACAACUUGUUCCAAGCAUUGUGUGAAAAACAUUAACAUUCACUGGUAAUAUUCUAAUACAUAUGCUGUUAAUUAUUGUGGUUAUAGUGUGUUUCCCAAAAGCAUUGUUAGUUAUGUUGGUAAGUUCCAUUGAACUCUAAUGGUAAUGAUGUAACUUGUGACCAAAGUUGCUUUUUGGAAACAGAUUAGUUUUAUGAACUCGAUCAAAUGAUUUGUUCAUGAAUAGGACUUUGAUGCUUCCCUCAUGAACACUAAUAAAUAUACCAAGGAGUGCUACAAUUAAUUUAAAAAAUUUCAAUCUUUUUUACAUUUUCCUCACACAAAGCUAUAUCAUGGAAAAGAGUGACUGGAGCAUUCUUCACAAUUUCUGUGCUUUUGUUCCAUGGAAGAAAGACUGCCAAACAUAUCUGUAACAACAUGAGCAUGCAAAAAUUGAUAAUUUUUUUAGGGUGAACGGUUUCAUAAAAUAGGUUGUUUAUAUUUUUAUAUAGUUUAUAUUUUACAGCAAUCAGUCUUGUAAAUGCUUAUCAUGUGUAAGUUAUUUAGGUCUGCUGCAACUUUUGCCUGGAGGCUUCUUCCCCUGACAGCUCUCUAAGAGGCUUCCAAUAGGUUAAAUACUCUACAACACUGCUACCAGGGAGAUCACCAUGGUGAGCAACAUUGCGUCAGUGACAAAGUCUUUUGUGGAUGAGGUGUCAGUGUACAGUCAGCUCCAUUCAAAUAGAAGGCUGAAAAUUUAAAGUGACACCGUGUUGAUGGAACUAAUGGACUUGCAAAUGUGAAAAUCUCAUUUUGUUGAGCCAGGCUGUCAAGCAGCCAUGAAACAGAUCAUGUAAGCAUGUUUUAACAGAGCAGAGAGUUGUAUAAAUAUUUUAGGAUGCAAGCAUAGCCUCUCUUUUCAGAAAAAAAAAAAUAUUUCUGAGAUGAAAAAUCACUAGCGCAUUAAAACGAUUUGCAGUUAUUGUGACUAACUGGUCUGUGUGGUGCAGUUAACUAAUGAGAAAAAGACAUUUUAAUUGGAUGAAUUUCUCAAAGUUUGCAAAGGAAACAGUGUUGCUACAUGAUUUCUUACCAACACACUGAUUUGAAAGAGGAAAUUACCCAUUUCUUCAGAAAAUUAGACUUUUGUUGCUGUUACAGUUUAAUUGGCCUAGUUUACAACUCUUUAAAGCUGAC
ensembl:lncRNA